UGGGGAAUAUUGCGCAAUGGAGGAAACUCUGACGCAUCAACGCCGCGUGAGUGAAGAAGGUUUUCGGAUCGUAAAACUCUGUCUUUGGGGACGAAUAAAAUGACGGUACCCAAGGAGGAAGCCCCGGCUAACUACGUUCCAGCAGCCGCGGUAAUACGUAGGGGGCAAGCGUUGUCCGGAAUUACUGGGCGUAAAGAGUACGUAGGCGGUUUGUUAAGUUAGGUGUGAAAGUUUGCAGCUCAACUGUAAAAGUGCAUUUAAAACUGGCAGACUUGAGUCUCGGAGAGGUAAGCGGAAUUCCUAGUGUAGCGGUGAAAUGCGUAGAGAUUAGGAAGAACACCGGUGGCGAAGGCGGCUUACUGGAAGAGUACUGACGCUAAGGUACGAAAGCGUGGGGAGCAAACA
rnacentral:rRNA from 1 species